rnacentral:rRNA from 1 species
AUCUCUGUAGAGUCUGCAUAUCAAUAAGCGGAGGAAAAGAAACUAACAAGGAUUCCCUUAGUAACGGCGGGUGAAGCGGGAAGAGCUCAAAUUUGAAAUCUUCAAGGUUCUGACCUUGACGAAUUGUAGUUUAUAGAAGUGUUUUCUGUUGGAGUUUUGGUAAAAGUUCUUUGGAAUAGGACAUCAUAGAGGGUGAGAAUCCCGUAUUUGACCAUUAUUUCCAGCUUUGUGAUACACUUUCAAAGAGUCGGAUUGUUUGGGAAUGCAGUCCAAAAUGGGUGGUAAAUUUCAUCUAAAGCUAAAUACUGGCGAGAGACCGAUAGCGAACAAGUACCGUGAGGGAAAGAUGAAAAGAACUUUGAAAAGAGAGUUAAACAGUACGUGAAAUUGUCAAAAGGGAAGCGUUUGACACCAGUGUUGUUUUCUCGAAAAUCAAUUAAAAAGAGUUGGAUUUUGUAUUGUUAAGACCUUAUCAGCUUACUGUACUUUUUUCUUGCUCUUUUUAAUGCACUUUUCGUUUAACAAGUCAACAUCAAUUUCUUUUGUUGUAAAAGGGUCAUUGGAAGGUGGCUUUCACUUCGGUGAAAGUGUUUAUAGCCUUUGGCUUCUACAAUCGGAGAGAUUGAGGUCUGCAGCGUAGAUCCUUCGGGGUUAGAUACGUAGAUGCUAAGUUAUAGUUUUUUAUAGACAACUUGUUGACUAUGAUUAAUCAUGUAGCUUACUCGUUUACGCUAUUUUACCUACGCUUAGGAUGUUGAGUCAUCACACAUCUCU